ACACACGCACGCACCCACCCCACCCGGCUGCCGGACGCAAGCGUAAGUCAAGGACUUGCAUGCUAGAAUCAGACAGAAAAUCCAGAAAAGCCACGUUAUUUAACAGAACCCUACAAGGUCAGCUUUGAGUCAAAGCAGGACGGAGCCCUGACAGCAAUGUUUGCUACGGCCUCCCUCUGCAGUCAGCCUAAAGCAAGGAGCUGGAGGUAGAUGAGGCAAAGGUAAAGGAGACCAAAACAGUAUUUUAAAGAAAAAAUCAUUUAUCUUCAAAUAGGCUCCAAACCUAAGAUGGUGUAUACUGUUAGAGGACAAGAACCUGCUUCUAGCCAUCUUUGCGUCUCCAGGACCUGACUUGUGACCAUUCAAUAAGAGUUUGAUAGAUGGACAGACUAAUGAAUAGAUGAAGAUGAUUAGAAGCCAAAAUUUCUGAAUCUUCCUAGCACCCAGAACAUGGCUUAACAUCAAGGAAAUGCUCACUAAAUACUGUCAUAAUGGAAUGAAUGGAACCGAUGCCUAAUUGAAAAUCAUUAGGCUGUAAACCAUUUCCAUGUUCCAAUUUCUUCGUUUAUAGAACAGAAAUGAUAGUGUAACCACCUGAAAAUCCUUCACCUAGACUUCCAAAACCACACCCACCUCAUCAAUGAAGUCUGACUCUCUAGAAAGAAGCAAAUGACUGAAAUCAUGGUCCUGUGCCUUGACCAAAAUACCAUUCGUCAGAACAAAAGAAGUAGGUCAGUGAAACGGCAUUAGUAUAUCCUUCAACAGGCAAAUAAGUGAUAGUGUAGUUUGCUUUUGAAGUCGCUGUGAAAAGUUUUAGGUGAACAUCACCUACACCACAUUAAAAAUGGAAUCAAGUCAUUUUCUUUAAGAAAUGGAGUUUGAGAUAUGAGAAUUCUUUUGGGCUUUUUCUACUUAUUGGCCAAUUAUACACCCAGAUAUAUUUCUGCAAUAUUUCAAAGAUUCUAGUUCUAAUUUGUAUAAUAAAAAAAAUUAACAGCCUUUUCCAGACCACAUGUUUCCAACAAGACCUUCAAAGGCCUCGCUCGCUAUAUAAAACUGGCUUUAAACAAUUUCCUUUCCCAAAGAAGGAAAUAAGAUAUUUCGGUUUUGUAAAAGAGGCAAAACCAGGUACAGGCCACCUUUCCUGCUGGAGAGCUGGCAUAAGUGAGUGGAUUCUUAAUUACUAUUUUACCUGCGGGGCAUAAUUACUUACGUGGAGUGAAAUAAGGAGCCGUCCUUUUCUAAGUAGCCUUCAUAGUGGACCAACAUCAAAUCCCCUCCUUUGGUCUUGCGAUGGCAGAUGAAUGGCUUCUGGAGAACUUCAAUUUUCACUUCUGGUUCAGGGAUCAAAGCCCCAAUCAAAGAAGUGACGAACAGAGUCAAGACCGCGUUCCACAAGAAAAGCCUCAUGUUGCUGAAGCAAGGAAAGAAGUCCCUACAAAAGCAGCGAAAGGUCCCUCGACUUCAUAGAUUUAAGAACGUAGUUCAAGGCUUACGGACAAGGGCUUCAGACAAGUUCAGGACUCCCCCUUCUUAGAAGACGUGGCACAUUUACCACCAACUCUUUUCUCAAGGGUCACGAACCUACCUUUAAAGAGUUAAGCCCAAAUGCCGGCCUGACUGGCUCUUAUAACGCGGCCGCCUGGGAAUAGCAGCCUCCCAUUGGCUAUUGGUGCUGUCCUUCAGGCAGCUCUCAAGCCAAUGACGCUGCAACGAUGGAAUUUACAGCCCGGUAGAGCCGGGCAGCUGCCAAGCGGCGGAUCAUCCCUUGUGGUCCUAGAGCCCGGUGGAUUUCAGCAUUCAACCAGCGUGGAUUUUGGGAGAGGGGCGGGGCGCAGAGCCAACCGGAAACUCCUCCGGCUGAUUUAUCUCUGUGAAGAACCCUGCUGAGAGACGUAGGAAGAGUCCCGGGGCCCUAUGAAAUCUUCGGGGUUCCAGGAAAGACUCGUUUACUCUCGCCGUUGGAGAGCGGCCCCCCAAGAUGCCACAAUCCUAGGAUUUUGCUAUUGCUUAUAAACUGUAAAGACUGACAUACUGCUUGAGGGUUCACAAAGCGCGUUCCCGUUGCAUGAACCUCACUACACCCAGUAAGGCAGGUUCUUUUUUCCCAUUUAAAAGAGAAGUAAAUUUACACCAGGAGAUA
rnacentral:lncRNA from 1 species